rfam:Ailuropoda melanoleuca scaffold493_58, whole genome shotgun sequence.
GCCUGGCUGGCUCAGUUGGUAGAGCAUGUGACUCUUUAUCUCAGAGUCGGGAGUUUGAGCCCCACAUUAGGCA